rnacentral:rRNA from 1 species
UACGAAGGGGGCGAGCGUUGUUCGGAAUCACUGGGCGUAAAGGGCGCGUAGGCGGCCACCGCAAGUCGACUGUGAAAUCUCUGGGCUUAACCCAGAAAGGUCAGCCGAUACUGCGGGGCUAGAGUGCAGAAGGGGCAACUGGAAUUCUCGGUGUAGCGGUGAAAUGCGUAGAUAUCGAGAGGAACACCAGCGGCGAAGGCGGCGCUCUGGGCCGGUACUGACACUGAGGCGCGAAAGCGUGGGGAGCGAACAGG